rnacentral:rRNA from 1 species
AUUGAACGCUGGCGGCAGGCCUAACACAUGCAAGUCGAGCGGAUGAAGGGAGCUUGCUCCUGGCUUCAGCGGCGGACGGGUGAGUGAUGCCUAGGAAUCUGCCUGGUAGUGGGGGCUAACGUCCGGAAACGGGCGCUAAUACCGCAUACGUCCUGAGGGUGAAAGUGGGGGAUCUUCGGACCUCACGCUAUCUGAUGAGCCUAGGUCGGAUUAGCUAGUUGGUGGGGUAAAGGCCUACCAAGGCGACGAUCCGUAACUGGUCUGAGAGGAUGAUCAGUCACACUGGAACUGAGACACGGUCCAGACUCCUACGGGAGGCAGCAGUAGGGAAUAUUGGACAAUGGGCGAAAGCCUGAUCCAGCCAUGCCGCGUGUGUGAAGAAGGUCUUCGGAUUGUAAAGCACUUUAAGUUGGGAGGAAGGGCAGUAAGUUAAUACCUUGCUGUUUUGACGUUACCAACAGAAUAAGCACCGGCUAACUUCGUG